AAUCUCAUCCGAUGUCAUAGAUUCGUUUGUUUGUAUCAUUGUCAAAAUGUGAUAUAUCGUAUAUCACCAGUUGGAAAAACAGUUGAUUUUUCAGCUGCCGCAAGUUCGUCUUCUCACUGUGAUGUUUUUAGUAAUAGCCUACAGUAAUCGAUAGGACAGAGCACAGAGGUUACGUGAAUUUUCUUAACAAAAGAGCUGCGCUACAAGAUUUAAGGCUGUUGUUUGAAGUGGGAAUUUUUUGUCAAUCAAGAUAGUUGAAGAAAUCAUGUAGCAUUGCUUUAUUGGAUUCGUUUACACUAAUCCUUACGUAUAGGAGAUCAAGCAUGGUAGCUCGCAUACUUAUCGACAACGAACAGGAUGCGGUACAGGAGGCCUCACCUCUGUACAUUUCAGUGUGCCAGACCGAUGAUCCGGUACUCUGGUCAAGUAUGACGAUCGCGCGUAACACGCCGGAUUUUGUUUAUACAUUCAAACUGACAAACUACCAUGUAAUAAUACCUAAGAAGGAAUUUAAUAAAUCUAGUCCGUGUUAACUGA